CACGAAGCGAAUACUCCCAAGUUUAGACACAAUUAACUACAGCUGGGAAGGGAAAAAACAAAGAACUCCUUUAGAAGAAAAAAACAAAUGCAAGUGUAGAGCUAGCAUGCAAAUUCAGGCUCUAUUUUCUUUCUUUCUUUUGGGGAGCUCUACCUUUCUUUUGUCCCAUCUACUGUCUGUUUGCUACAUUAAUUUUCCCCAAUCAAGCAAGGGACUAGUGCUGGAUGUUAGUGGAGUACCAUGUAAACAUUCACACAUAAUGUACUCAUCAUUAUUCUCUACUCCACUCCACUAAUCAACAAAUUAAGUGUACGCCACUCAUAUAUGGUACCUACGUGUCCACCUUGGGAAUAUCGAGGCACCUGUGCGCCGUUGAGAGCUUCUUGUGGCAGAGGAGAAGGUGAUGUCUAUCUGAAAGGAAAGGGCGGCGCCGCAGUGGAAAGGAUGGAUGGAGUGAGACAAAACUUCUUAGGCCAGAAGGACAGGCUGACACGCAGUACGAGAAGGCAGGAUCGUACUGACCCCCAUGCAGAUAGACAAAACUUCCUAGGUCAGAUGUUUUCUUUUUCUGCUUCUUGUUGGUGUAAACCAACCUUCAUGGAUAAAACCAAUGAUCCCAGAUUGAUCAUACCAGAAGAAAAAGGAAAGGAAAGGAAAAGAUAAGGAGUAUAUAAUGGACGAAAAUUAACUAUUAUUUUCCUAAAAAGUUAAUGAUCUCCAGCGGACCAACCUGGAGUUGGAUGAAGAGGAGGGGGCGGUGCCGGAGGAGGAGACCGGCAAAAAAGCAAAGAGCAAGCAGGAGUAGCACUAAAGGGGAGGAAUAAACUAGUAUAGAUCCCCUUGAUGAAUAAAAAUGAUGCCCUAAAGCAAUCAAAAAAGAUAAAGUUAAUGAAAAAACGAUGAAAAUAUUUGAUCCCUCUUUCUAAGAAGUGAAUAGCCCCCCACCCCCACCCCCACCCCCUUCAAUUGGGAGUCCAGGGGUGAUGGGGGAGGAGAAGGCGGAAGGGUAAAACAUAAGCAUGAGCACGAAUAAAAUGGAGGGCCGAAGUAGGGGAAGGAAGCUUACCGUUGAAUUCAACACCCUUGAAAUCUCAUCGACGAAGGGAUGAUAAUUGUUGUCCUGCCUCAGUGCCUUCCUGCUUACGGUGGCGGUGGAUGACGGGCCAUGGGGUAGCGGCGAUUGGAGACCCAACAAUUAAGCGAGAAGAGGAGGAAUCACCGAUAAAAGGAUGCUGCCAUGGCG
rnacentral:lncRNA from 1 species